GAUUAACGCUGACGGUAUGCCUUAUACAUGCAAGUCGAACGGUAAGGUCUCUUCGGAGAUACACGAGUGGCGGACGGGUGAGUAACGCGUAGGAAUAUGCCCUUUAGUGGGGGACAACCAAGAGAAAUUUUGGCUAAUACCCCAUAUGUCGAGAGAUGAAAGAUUUAUCGCUAGAGGAGUAGCCUGCGUUUGAUUAGCUAGUUGGUGGGGUAAAAGCUCACCAAGGCGACGAUCAAUAGCUGGUUUGAGAGGAUGACCAGCCACAAUGGGACUGAGAUACGGCCCAUACUCCUACGGGAGGCAGCAGUAGGGAAUUUUGCGCAAUGGGCGAAAGCCUGACGCAGCAAUACCGUGUGCGGGAAGACGCUCUGUGGAGUGUAAACCGCUGUCAGAUGGGAAGAAUCAAUGACUGUACCAUCAAAGGAAGGACCGGCUAACUCUGUG
rnacentral:rRNA from 1 species